ensembl:lncRNA
AGCUAGUGGGGGCAAAGUUUCAGUGCAUUCCGUUGAUGUAGACGGCGUGAAAACGGAAACAACAAGUAUGCCGGCUCACUGUACUGCAUACAGUUACACACUGCGUCGUACGAUUGAGACAAGGAAACUUGGAAUGACUUUUCAUAGGUCCCUCUCUAUCUCCCCACACAUUCACCAACCACUGGAACACAUCUCCAAAGUUCUGCCGGGCCAGCUCAGCUUCCCCUCAGAAGAAGUGGCGCCACCUGCCAGAUGAAGGAGCCUUUUGAGAGGCAGCUGGCAUCGUGAUUGGACUGUACUUUGGUCUGUUCCAAUCCACCUUCAGCUCCAGAGACGGCAGGCGGGACGAGUCAACGGAGGCCUGGUGGACGAAGGCAUGCAGCUGAGUACAAUCCAGAAAACAACAGAGGAGGAGUGCAGGGCCAGAACAACCAGAGUAGCAUCUUAUGUCUCUUAGAAAACAUCAUAGUAUAGCCUUUGACCAAAGAACUACAGACUCUUCACAACCUGCUCAAACUCUUGGUACAGGACCUCACCACACGGGUCAAGAAGGUUUCCUUCUCCUCAUUUCUACUCUGAAGCUCACCUUCUCCUGCUCAAACUGCU